rnacentral:rRNA from 1 species
CUGGCUCAGGACGAACGCUGGCGGCGUGCCUAAUACAUGCAAGUCGAACGCUUUUUCUUUCACCGGAGCUUGCUCCACCGAAAGAAAAAGAGUGGCGAACGGGUGAGUAACACGUGGGUAACCUGCCCAUCAGAAGGGGAUAACACUUGGAAACAGGUGCUAAUACCGUAUAACACUAUUUUCCGCAUGGAAGAAAGUUGAAAGGCGCUUUUGCGUCACUGAUGGAUGGACCCGCGGUGCAUUAGCUAGUUGGUGAGGUAACGGCUCACCAAGGCAACGAUGCAUAGCCGACCUGAGAGGGUGAUCGGCCACACUGGGACUGAGACACGGCCCAGACUCCUACGGGAGGCAGCAGUAGGGAAUCUUCGGCAAUGGACGAAAGUCUGACCGAGCAACGCCGCGUGAGUGAAGAAGGUUUUCGGAUCGUAAAACUCUGUUGUUAGAGAAGAACAAGGAUGAGAGUAAAACGUUCAUCCCUGACGGUUCUACCAGAGAGC